rnacentral:rRNA from 1 species
UACGUAGGGUGCGAGCGUUAAUCGGAAUUACUGGGCGUAAAGCGUGCGUAGGCGGUUUUGUAAGCCAGAUGUGAAAGCCCCGGGCUUAACCUGGGAAUGGCAUUUGGGACUGCAAGGCUGGAGUGUGGCAGAGGAGACUGGAAUUCCUGGUGUAGCAGUGAAUGCGUAGAUAUGCGGAGGAACACCGAUGGCGAAGGCAAUCCCCUGGGCCUGCACUGACGCUCAUGCACGAAAGCGUGGGAGC